rnacentral:siRNA from 1 species
UAAACACCAUAGUCAUCCACACC